ACGAACGCUGGCGGCGUGCUUAACACAUGCAAGUCGAACGGAAAGGCCCUGCUUUUGUGGGGUGCUCGAGUGGCGAACGGGUGAGUAACACGUGAGUAACCUGCCCUUGACUUUGGGAUAACUUCAGGAAACUGGGGCUAAUACCGGAUAGGAGCUCCUGCUGCAUGGUGGGGGUUGGAAAGUUUCGGCGGUUGGGGAUGGACUCGCGGCUUAUCAGCUUGUUGGGGGGGUGGUGGCUUACCAGGCUUUGACGGGUAGCCGGCCUGAGAGGGUGACCGGCCCCAUUGGGACUGAGAUACGGCCCAGACUCCUACGGGAGGCAGCAGUGGGGAAUAUUGCACAAUGGGCGGAAGCCUGAUGCAGCAACGCCGCGUGCGGGAUGACGGCCUUCGGGUUGUAAACCGCUUUCGCCUGUGACGAAGCGUGAGUGACGGUAAUGGGUAAAGAAGCACCGGCUAACUACGUG
rnacentral:rRNA from 1 species